CCGGCGAUGUCCGAAUGGGGAAACCCAGUGCAAUUCGUUGCACUAUCGUUAACUGAAUACAUAGGUUAACGAGGCGAACCGGGGGAACUGAAACAUCUAAGUACCCCGAGGAAAAGAAAUCAACCGAGAUUCCCCCAGUAGCGGCGAGCGAACGGGGAGCAGCCCAGAGUCUGAAUCAGCUUGUGUGUUAGUGGAACGGUCUGGAAAGUCCGACGGUACAGGGUGAUAGUCCCGUACACCAAAAUGCACAGGCUGUGAACUCGAAGAGUAGGGCGGGACACGUGGUAUCCUGUCUGAAUAUGGGGGGACCAUCCUCCAAGGCUAAAUACUCCUGACUGACCGAUAGUGAACCAGUACCGUGAGGGAAAGGCGAAAAGAACCCCGGCGAGGGGAGUGAAAAAGAACCUGAAACCGUGUACGUACAAGCAGUGGGAGCACCUUCGGGUGUGACUGCGUACCUUUUGUAUAAUGGGUCAGCGACUUAUAUUCUGUAGCAAGGUUAACCGUAUAGGGGAGCCGCAGGGAAACCGAGUCUUAACUGGGCGUUAAGUUGCAGGGUAUAGACCCGAAACCCGGUGAUCUAGCCAUGGGCAGGUUGAAGGUUGGGUAACACUAACUGGAGGACCGAACCGACUAAUGUUGAAAAAUUAGCGGAUGACUUGUGGCUGGGGGUGAAAGGCCAAUCAAACCGGGAGAUAGCUGGUUCUCCCCGAAAGCUAUUUAGGUAGCGCCUCGUGAAUUCAUCUUCGGGGGUAGAGCACUGUUUCGGCUAGGGGGUCAUCCCGACUUACCAACCCGAUGCAAACUACGAAUACCGAAGAAUGUUAUCACGGGAGACACACGGCGGGUGCUAACGUCCGUCGUGAAGAGGGAAACAACCCAGACCGCCAGCUAAGGUCCCAAAGUCAUGGUUAAGUGGGAAACGAUGUGGGAAGGCACAGACAGCCAGGAUGUUGGCUUAGAAGCAGCCAUCAUUUAAAGAAAGCGUAAUAGCUCACUGGUCGAGUCGGCCUGCGCGGAAGAUGUAACGGGGCUAAACCAUGCACCGAAGCUGCGGCAGCGACACUAUGUGUUGUUGGGUAGGGGAGCGUUCUGUAAGCCUGCGAAGGUGUGCUGUGAGGCAUGCUGGAGGUAUCAGAAGUGCGAAUGCUGACAUAAGUAACGAUAAAGCGGGUGAAAAGCCCGCUCGCCGGAAGACCAAGGGUUCCUGUCCAACGUUAAUCGGGGCAGGGUGAGUCGACCCCUAAGGCGAGGCCGAAAGGCGUAGUCGAUGGGAAACAGGUUAAUAUUCCUGUACUUGGUGUUACUGCGAAGGGGGGACGGAGAAGGCUAUGUUAGCCGGGCGACGGUUGUCCCGGUUUAAGCAUGUAGGCUGGUUAUCCAGGCAAAUCCGGAUAAUCAAGGCUGAGGUGUGAUGACGAGGCACUACGGUGCUGAAGUAACAAAUGCCCUGCUUCCAGGAAAAGCCUCUAAGCAUCAGGUAACAUCAAAUCGUACCCCAAACCGACACAGGUGGUCAGGUAGAGAAUACCAAGGCGCUUGAGAGAACUCGGGUGAAGGAACUAGGCAAAAUGGUGCCGUAACUUCGGGAGAAGGCACGCUGGUGUGUAGGUGAAGUCCCUGCGGAUGGAGCUGAGACCAGUCGAAGAUACCAGCUGGCUGCAACUGUUUAUUAAAAACACAGCACUGUGCAAACACGAAAGUGGACGUAUACGGUGUGACGCCUGCCCGGUGCCGGAAGGUUAAUUGAUGGGGUUAUCCGUAAGGAGAAGCUCUUGAUCGAAGCCCCGGUAAACGGCGGCCGUAACUAUAACGGUCCUAAGGUAGCGAAAUUCCUUGUCGGGUAAGUUCCGACCUGCACGAAUGGCGUAAUGAUGGCCAGGCUGUCUCCACCCGAGACUCAGUGAAAUUGAACUCGCUGUGAAGAUGCAGUGUACCCGCGGCAAGACGGAAAGACCCCGUGAACCUUUACUAUAGCUUGACACUGAACAUUGAGCCUUGAUGUGUAGGAUAGGUGGGAGGCUUUGAAGCGUGGACGCCAGUCUGCGUGGAGCCGACCUUGAAAUACCACCCUUUAAUGUUUGAUGUUCUAACGUUGGCCCCUGACCGGGGUUGCGGACAGUGUCUGGUGGGUAGUUUGACUGGGGCGGUCUCCUCCCAAAGCGUAACGGAGGAGCACGAAGGUUAGCUAAUCCUGGUCGGACAUCAGGAGGUUAGUGCAAUGGCAUAAGCUAGCUUGACUGCGAGCGUGACGGCGCGAGCAGGUGCGAAAGCAGGUCAUAGUGAUCCGGUGGUUCUGAAUGGAAGGGCCAUCGCUCAACGGAUAAAAGGUACUCCGGGGAUAACAGGCUGAUACCGCCCAAGAGUUCAUAUCGACGGCGGUGUUUGGCACCUCGAUGUCGGCUCAUCACAUCCUGGGGCUGAAGUAGGUCCCAAGGGUAUGGCUGUUCGCCAUUUAAAGUGGUACGCGAGCUGGGUUUAGAACGUCGUGAGACAGUUCGGUCCCUAUCUGCCGUGGGCGCUGGAGAAUUGAGGGGGGCUGCUCCUAGUACGAGAGGACCGGAGUGGACGCAUCACUGGUGUUCGGGUUGUCAUGCCAAUGGCACUGCCCGGUAGCUAAAUGCGGAAGAGAUAAGUGCUGAAAGCAUCUAAGCACGAAACUUGCCCCGAGAUGAGUUCUCCCUGAGACUUUAAGUCUCCUGAAGGAACGUU
rnacentral:rRNA from 1 species